rnacentral:lncRNA from 1 species
GGGCUGCUUCCACAUUUAAUAAGAAGAAUUUUAGGAAAAGAAGAACAUUUUUUAUUGGAGAAAAACAAAAGCUUUUAAAUUUGCCACAACAUUAAAAUAGAGAGAAGAGAAGGGGCUUUCCCAUGGUGCAAGUUGUGGGUUUUUGCAUGCACUUGUUGACCCACACAUAACACUUGCACAUCACAUUCAGUACACCCAC